rnacentral:tRNA from 1 species
UCCCUGGUGGCUCAGACGGUAAAGCGUCUGCCUGCAAUGCAGGAGACCCGGGUUCGAUCCCUGGGUUGGGAA